AUUAAUAAACUUGGUCGAGAACCUUAAAAUUUAAU
rfam:Flavobacteriaceae bacterium TMED145 77336, whole genome shotgun sequence.